GUUUUAUAAAGAAAGGUGGAGGGAUCAGGCCCCAAGAUACCUUAGCAACCAGUUUAACUAAAUUAAACAAGGUGCUAAUUCCUGCUUCAAAAUUUUUUGAAGAUAGAUAAAAU
rnacentral:ncRNA from 2 species